AGGAGUGUAGCUCAGCUGGUAGAGCGUCGGUCUCCAAAACCGAAAGUCGUGGGUUCGAGUCCCCCCACUCCUGCCA
rnacentral:tRNA from 16 species